UACCCGACUUCCAUCCAGGGAUUCAACCUUCGUUCAUAGAAAGAUUGCUCACGUCCCUGGCGACACAUAUGUUAUAACAAAGGAAUCAAAUUAACGAGUUAAAACAAAUUUUGUGUUAUUGUGGAGGACGGAAAAUCACGAAUUGUUUUCGUAUUUUUUUACGGCUCACCACGGGACGGGACGAGCCGGGAUUUGGUCAUCCCGUCCCGUCCCGAUAUCUCUAUCGGGACAAAUAAUCGGUACGGGACGGGACAAAUCUUUACACCGUCCCGUCCCGAAUCCCGUCCCGACCCGUCCCGAUCGGGACGGGACAUCCCGGUAUAACAGCUUUGAAAUGCAAAUGAUAUGAAUUAAAAUAUUUUGAGCAAAUUAAAUUAAUUCAUACAACAAAAAGCAAAUUACGUAACAUGUAACAAAGAUAAAACAUACAUUGUGCUAAUUAAAGCAGGUUAACCAAAUAUUUUGUUAUAACACACGCUGAAAUUUUAGUCAUAAAAUUAGAAUUAUUUUGAUACCCAGGCUUUCAAACACAAGCAAUCUUAAACAGUUUCGUCAAGCAUUAAUUUCCGGUUGCAAUCCA